GGUCUGGUGGUGUAGUUGGUUAUCACGUCAGUCUAACAUCCCGUCGAGUUCUCUCGUCGAGUUGGGUACACUGAAGGUCUCCGGUUCAAGUCCGGGCUAGAUCA
rnacentral:tRNA from 2 species